UCCACAUCUGUGUUGGUUUGAUCCCUUGCCUGCUUCGUGCCCUAUUACAAUAGCCUGGACAGAUAGACAUUGGAAAGUAGAAUAUUUAUGAUCCUCCACUGUCCUGGCUUCUUGAUUUAUCUGUUAUCCAUUGUUACUAAGCAAGUCUGGCAGGACCACAAAAUUUGAAGAUACAAAUUCAUACUAUGGACGAGACUGAUCUCUUGGUUACAUUCUUCUAACAAGGAAUUUUAUCUUUCAAUGUGUGCCUUUUUCCAAAAUUGAGUGUUGUUAUGUAAACAACUAAGGCCAUCACAUCCCAAUUUGUCAUGUUGUUAUUACAGAGAGCAGGAGUGAACUUGGUGUUAAAAUGGGCCAUCGCAUUACCAAUAACAAUCAAGCUCGUAUUAAACUCUAAAUUCUGUUAAAGAUCAUUUAUAUAAUAAUAUAUAACACAUCAUGAUGCUUUACGAACUCCCUUAAUAAGAGCUUAUGCUAGAAUAAAUACCCUUACAUUAUGUUAUCACACGCACCAUUUACAUCAUUGCUUUCUCUUGGACCUGAAGGGUUAAUCAGUCAUUGCAUAAAAAUGCAUUUAAAAUGGAAACCUAAGCCAGGAAAAUGUGAUUUUACACAACAGUACUUACUGAACAUCUUCAAAAUAUUCUUUUAUCAGAUGCAUUCUUUUUUCAAAUACUUCUUUGCCCAUGUGAGGAGAAUCAAAGACCUUGAAAUAUUUAUACAAAACUAUUUAUUUAACAUCAAAUUAUAAAUUAGCCUAUAUAUUAUAUUUGUUAUCUUAUAAACAGAGAAAACUGGCUAUUUGACCAGUGUCAAAAAAAGAUAAAUAAGAAGUUUGAGUAACAACUAAUAUGUAAAUAUGUAUAUUUUCUGUCACUUAUUCUAUAAAUUAUGUAUGUGACAUUAACUUCUUUAGUUAACAAGCAUUUUUUCGUAGAUCUAAAUCUAAUAUAUAAGUGACUGCAUUGUUAACAAUUAACACUCCUGAAAAAAAAAAGUUAUGUAAGGAGGGAUAACUUUUAAUGAUUUUUUUAAACAGUAACUUCCCGUAUUUUAAAGUUUUGAGGUAAACAGCCAAUAAGUUUUAAUUAAAAUCUUGUUCUAAUCAUUAACAGAGAGAGAUCUAAUUCAAUUCAUCUUGAUAUAAGAUGUUACAUACAUGAUAUUUAAUAUCUUUCCAUUUCGGACUUUCUGCUGUCUUGACUAUGCUAACAGUAGACUGAAACUCUCCCCGCCCACCGAAGAGUUCACCAUCUAAAUGCAUGUCUUUUGGAAGAUCCUACAAAGAAACAAUUUAUAUUAAAGCAUGUCAUUAGUUAUAUAUAUAGAUCUCUAUACAUACGAAUAACCAUAUCAAAUGAGAUUGUGUAAAUUGAAAAGAGUAUGAUUUAUUGCAGUGAUUCUCACACAUUUUCCCUCAACUCAUUUGUUAUAAAUUAAAAAUUAUUUUGUGACACUCCA